GAUGAACGCUAGCUACAGGCUUAACACAUGCAAGUCGAGGGGCAGCAUGAUUGAAGCUUGCUUCAAUCGAUGGCGACCGGCGCACGGGUGAGUAACACGUAUCCAACCUGCCGAUAACUCGGGGAUAGCCUUUCGAAAGAAAGAUUAAUACCCGAUAGUAUAGUAUUUCCGCAUGGUUUCACUAUUAAAGAACUUCGGUUAUCGAUGGGGAUGCGUUCCAUUAGAUAGUUGGCGGGGUAACGGCCCACCAAGUCAACGAUGGAUAGGGGUUCUGAGAGGAAGGUCCCCCACAUUGGAACUGAGACACGGUCCAAACUCCUACGGGAGGCAGCAGUGAGGAAUAUUGGUCAAUGGACGAGAGUCUGAACCAGCCAAGUAGCGUGAAGGAUGACUGCCCUAUGGGUUGUAAACUUCUUUUAUACGGGAAUAAAGUGGAGUAUGCAUACUCCUUUGUAUGUACCGGAUGAAUAAGGAUCGGCUAACUCCGUG
rnacentral:rRNA from 1 species